GAUGAACGCUGGCGGCGCGCCUAACACAUGCAAGUCGAACGAUUAAAGCACCUUCGGGUGUGUAUACAGUGGCGAACGGCUGAGUAACACGUGGGCAACCUGCCCCUUUCAUUGGGAUAGCCCCGGGAAACCGUGGAUAAUACCGAAUACUUCGAGACUUCCGCAUGGAAGACUCGAGAAAGCCCCGGCGGGGAGGGAUCGGCCGUCGGCCUGUUUGCUUGUUGGUGGGGUAACGGCCUACCAAGGCAAUGAUGGAUUGCUGGGUUGGGAGACCGACCAAGCAGAUGAGGACUGAGAGACGGACCAGACUCGUACGGGAGGCAGCAGUGGGGAAUCUUGCACAGUGAGCGAGAGCGUGAGGCAGAGGCGCCGCGUGCGGGAUGAAGGCCUUCGGGUUGUAAACCGCUGUCAGCAGAGACGAGGCGAAAGUGACGGUACCAGCAGAAGAAGCCCCGGCUAACUACGUG
rnacentral:rRNA from 1 species